GUUUAACAAAAACAUGGCCUUUUGAUUAUAAUUUAAGGUCUAGCCUGCCCAAUGAUGUAGAGUUAAAUGGCCGCGGUAUUUUGACCGUGCAAAGGUAGCAUAAUCAUUAGUUUUUUAAUUGAAAGCUGGUAUGAAAGGUUGGAUGAGAAAAUAACUGUCUCUAUUUAAGUUUUAUAGAAUUUUAUUUUUAAGUUAAAAAGCUUAAAUUUUUAUUGAAGACGAGAAGACCCUAUAGAGUUUUAUAUUUAUUUUAAAUUGAAAAUUUUAGUAUUAAGUUUUUUUACUUUAGGAUAAGUAUUUAGUUGGGGUGAUUGAAAAAUUGAGUAAACUUUUUUUUAUAAUAUCAUUGAUUUAUGAAUAUAUGAUCCUUACCUUAAGAUUAAAAGAUUAAAUUACCUUAGGGAUAACAGCGUAAUUUUUUUUUAGAGUUCUAAUCGAAAAAAAAGGUUGCGACCUCGAUGUUGAAUUAAAA
rnacentral:rRNA from 1 species